rnacentral:rRNA from 1 species
CGUAGGGUGCGAGCGUUAAUCGGAAUUACUGGGCGUAAAGCGUGCGCAGGCGGUUUUUUAAGACAGGCGUGAAAUCCCCGGGCUCAACCUGGGAACUGCGCUUGUGACUGGAAGGCUAGAGUACGGCAGAGGGGGAUGGAAUUCCGCGUGUAGCAGUGAAAUGCGUAGAUAUGCGGAGGAACACCGAUGGCGAAGGCAAUCCCCUGGACCUGUACUGACGCUCAUGCACGAAAGCGUGGGGAGCAAACAGGAUUAGAUACCCUGGUAGUCCACGCCCUAAACGAUGUCAACUGGUUGUUGGGUCUUUACUGACUCAGUAACGAAGCUAACGCGUGAAGUUGACCGCCUGGGGAGUACGGCCGCAAGGUUG